rnacentral:lncRNA from 1 species
UCAUUGCAGCUGCAGGUCUUUUAGUGCCAUGGCUAGCAGCAUUAUUCAACACCGAGCAGCCAUACUGAAGACCGUUUUCGAUCGAGGCAUACUCAGGCUUAACUGCUGCUGGAGGAUAGGAGGACCUCGGAGGCUUUUGAGGAACAGCAGGAACCGAAUCGGUGCUGCUAGAGCUGUCGAACGAGAUAAUGCACGAGUAAGGCGAGGAAGACG